UGUGGUUUAUAAGUGACUAUAGCUUUCUAUUUCGCUCAGGUCACCCUUCGUUGGAGUUUCAGUUACUGCGAUAGCAUUUAUAAAGAAAUUGCCUAACAUGUUUCUGAUAAUUAACGUGAAUGAUGGUUGCAGCUUCUCUCUGUGACAGGCGUGCCGAAGUUUGUGCUGUCACAGAAAACAAAAGGAGCAAAUUUCCUCGGGUACACCGCCAGCUCGAGGUGUGUGACCAUGGAAUUGCUUGGAGGGAGCGGUGAAUGUACCGUAGUUCUCGACCACUUCACUGACAACAAAUGGCUUACAGAUGUACUUUACGCAACGACGUCCCGCUCUGUAAUCAACUUCACAGCCAUAGAUUUUGACAAUGGUACACACUCUGUUCCAGCAUCACCACUUUACCGACUUAUCUAUACUGAUUACACUACCUGCUUCCUUGUGAUGGGUAGGCAGUCAAG
rnacentral:lncRNA from 1 species